GAAAUGGCCGACUAGGGUUCCGGCCCACCCGCACGGGUGGGUGACUGGUCCGAGAGUGGGCGACCUCGGAGCGGCGGGAAGCCGCGGGGUUACACGGCGGGAUAAAAGCCCGGGAGAA
rnacentral:other from 14 species